rnacentral:rRNA from 1 species
CGUGGAUGGACCCGCGGUGCAUUAGCUAGUUGGUGAGGUAACGGCUCACCAAGGCCACGAUGCAUAGCCGACCUGAGAGGGUGAUCGGCCACAUUGGGACUGAGACACGGCCCAAACUCCUACGGGAGGCAGCAGUAGGGAAUCUUCGGCAAUGGACGAAAGUCUGACCGAGCAACGCCGCGUGAGUGAAGAAGGUUUUCGGAUCGUAAAACUCUGUUGUUAGAGAAGAACAAGGAUGAGAGUAACUGUUCAUCCCUUGACGGUAUCUAACCAGAAAGCCACGGCUAACUACGUGCCAGCAGCCGCGGUAAUACGUAGGUGGCAAGCGUUGUCCGGAUUUAUUGGGCGUAAAGCGAGCGCAGGCGGUUUCUUAAGUCUGAUGUGAAAGCCCCCGGCUCAUCCGGGGAGGGUCAUUGGAAACUGGGAGACUUGAGUGCAGAAGAGGAGAGUGGAAUUCCAUGUGUAGCGGUGAAAUGCGUAGAUAUAUGGAGGAACACCAGUGGCGAAGGCGGCUCUCUGGUCUGUAACUGACGCUGAGGCUCGAAAGCGUGGGGAGCAAACAGGAUUAGAUACCCUGGUAGUCCACGCCGUAAACGAUGAGUGCUAAGUGUUGGAGGGUUUCCGCCCUUCAGUGCUGCAGCUAACGCAUUAAGCACUCCGCCUGGGGAGUACGACCGCAAGGUUGAAACUCAAAGGAAUUGACGGGGGCCCGCACAAGGGGUGGAGCAUGUGGUUUAAUUCGAAGCAACGCGAAGAACCUUACCAGGUCUUGACAUCCUUUGACCACUCUAGAGAUACAG